CCUCUCGAUGAUGAAGAGCUGGUGGAGUACAUUCUCACCAAGCUGGAUUAUGACAAUAACUCCCUGGUGUCGGCUGUUUUGGCGAGGUUUGAUCCGAUCUCUGUUAGCGAGCUCUACUCCCAGAUGCUUGCUUUUGAGA